CCUACGGGUGGCAGCAGUGGGGAAUAUUGCACAAUGGGCGCAAGCCUGAUGCAGCCAUGCCGCGUGUGUGAAGAAGGCCUUCGGGUUGUAAAGCACUUUCAGCGGGGAGGAAGGCGUUAAGGUUAAUAACCUUGGCGAUUGACGUUACCCGCAGAAGAAGCACCGGCUAACUCCGGGCCAGCAGCCGCGGUAAUACGGAGGGUGCAAGCGUUAAUCGGAAUUACUGGGCGUAAAGCGCACGCAGGCGGUCUGUCAAGUCGGAUGUGAAAUCCCCGGGCUCAACCUGGGAACUGCAUUCGAAACUGGCAGGCUAGAGUCUUGUAGAGGGGGGUAGAAUUCCAGGUGUAGCGGUGAAAUGCGUAGAGAUCUGGAGGAAUACCGGUGGCGAAGGCGGCUCUCUGGCCUGUAACUGACGCUGAGGCGCGAAAGCGUGGGGAGCGAACAGGAUUAGAUACCCGAGUAGUC
rnacentral:rRNA from 1 species